UACGUAGGGUGCGAGCGUUGUCCGGAAUUAUUGGGCGUAAAGAGCUCGUAGGCGGUCUGUCGCGUCGAAUGUGAAAACCCGGGGCUCAACUCCGGGCUUGCAUUCGAUACGGGCAGGCUAGAGUUCGGUAGGGGAGUCUGGAAUUCCUGGUGUAGCGGUGAAAUGCGCAGAUAUCAGGAGGAACACCGGUGGCGAAGGCGGGACUCUGGGCCGAUACUGACGCUGAGGAGCGAAAGCAUGGGGAGCGAACAGG
rnacentral:rRNA from 1 species